AAGUCGUAACAAGGUUUCCGUAGGUGAACCUGCGGAAGGAUCAUUAACACGUAUCCAAACGCUUGUAACCCGCGUAGUUCGCAAUCUCUGAUAAUCAUAGCCCGGAAAGUUGUAGUGAUUCAGAGACCUCUGGCUACGUGCGAACAUAGGAACAGUUACAAUCGAGCGGUAGUUCUAUAGGCAACGUUUCCCCAAGCAGUCAGUGUCGGAAAGUGUCAUUGAUUGUGCAAGGAUAGCGCUUGUACGAUUCCUGUAGACCGUACCCUCGGGCAGGAGCUUUGCCAAAGGGUCCCCAUGCCCCCUAAUAACCCCACAGUUUAGAGUGAAGCUCAAUGUAAUACAUUGGGUAGAAAAACCGAACAACUGUUAACAAUGGAUAUCUUGGUUCUC
rnacentral:misc_RNA from 1 species